CUGGAGACAGGUGCUGCAUGGCUGUCGUCAGCUCGUGUCGUGAGAUGUUGGGUUAAGUCCCGCAACGAGCGCAACCCUUGCCUUUAGUUGCCAGCAGUUCGGCUGGGCACUCUAAAGGGACUGCCGGUGUUAAACCGGAGGAAGUGGGGAUGACGUCAAGUCCUCAUGGCCUUUAUGACCAGGGCUACACACGUACUACAAUGGCCGAUACAAAGGGCAGCGACACUGCGAGGUGAAGCCAAUCCCGUAAAAUCGGUCUCAGUCCGGAUUGGAGUCUGCAACUCGACUCCAUGAAGUUGGAAUCGCUAGUAAUCAUGGAUCAGCAUGCCACGGUGAAUACGUUCCCGGGCCUU
rnacentral:rRNA from 1 species